GACGUGCUAAUCUGCGAUAAGCGCCGGUAAGGUGAUAUGAACCGUUAUAACCGGCGAUUUCCGAAUGGGGAAACCCAGUGUGACUCGUCACACUAUCAUUAACUGAAUCCAUAGGUUAAUGAGGCGAACCGGGGGAACUGAAACAUCUAAGUACCCCGAGGAAAAGAAAUCAACCGAGAUUCCCCCAGUAGCGGCGAGCGAACGGGGAGGAGCCCAGAGCCUGAAUCAGCAUGUGUGUUAGUGGAAGCGUCUGGAAAGGCGCGCGAUACAGGGUGACAGCCCCGUACACAAAAGCGCAUGUGCUGUGAGCUCGAUGAGUAGGGCGGGACACGUGGUAUCCUGUCUGAAUAUGGGGGGACCAUCCUCCAAGGCUAAAUACUCCUGACUGACCGAUAGUGAACCAGUACCGUGAGGGAAAGGCGAAAAGAACCCCGGCGAGGGGAGUGAAAAAGAACCUGAAACCGUGUACGUACAAGCAGUGGGAGCCCCACCACCAAAGCAUUCUCUGGUGUUGAAGGCCCUGCAAAGCAGCAUCGCGGUGGCGGAGCGUCGUUUGCGACGCCCAACACACAAAACAAGCGGUGAGUGCUUUG
rnacentral:rRNA from 1 species